rnacentral:rRNA from 1 species
CGAGCACGCGCGUGUGGCAUAUCAAUAAGCGGAGGAAAAGAAACUAACAAGGAUUCCCUUAGUAACGGCGAGUGAAGCGGGAAGAGCUCAAAUUUGAAAUCUUCAAGGUUCUACCUUGACGAAUUGUAGUUUAAAGAAGUGUUUUCUGUUGGAGUUUUGGUAAAAGUUCUUUGGAAUAGGACAUCAUAGAGGGUGAGAAUCCCGUAUUUGACCAUUAUUUCCAGCUGUGUGAUACACUUUCAAAGAGUCGGAUUGUUUGGGAAUGCAGUCCAAAAUGGGUGGUAAAUUUCAUCUAAAGCUAAAUAUUGGCGAGAGACCGAUAGCGAACAAGUACCGUGAGGGAAAGAUGAAAAGAACUUUGAAAAGAGAGUUAAACAGUACGUGAAAUCGUCAAAAGGGAAGCGUUUGACACCAGUGUUGUCUUCUCGAAAAUCAAUUAAAAAUGGCCGGAUUUUGUGUUGUAUUGACUUUAUCAGCUUUCUGCACUUUUUUCUUGUCUUUUUUAAUGCACUUUUCGUUAACAAGUCAACAUCAAUUUCUUUUGUUGUAAAAGGGUACGAGGAAGGUGGCUUUCUUUUCGGAGAAAGUGUUUAUAGCCUUGUGCCUCUGCAAUCGGAGAGAUUGAGGUCUGCAGCGUAGAUCCUUCGGGGUUAGAUACGUUUGUGCUAAGUUAUAGCUUUUCAUAGACAACUUGUUGACUAUGUUAAGUCUUGUAGCUUACUCGCUUACUGCUAUUUUACCUACGCUUAGGAUGUUGAGCGCAUGUCUCUCUCU